GACGAAGGACAAGUUUUCUGUGUGUUAUUUAGUGACAUUGGUAGCGAUAUUGCAUGGGAUUAUGUUUAGUACCUUCUGUGUUAAAUCACUCCAAGGCGGACCGUUAAAGAACCGGAACUCCUGUGAAAUUCAACCAAUCAGAUGACGGCUUCGAACGUGCUGAAGUGUUUCCAGAAAAGUGUUCCUUGUGCAUCAGACGUUAAGCCAACGGUCCGUGGGCGUGACGUCUGAGGCUGAGACUAGCGCAGAAAUGCCGAACAAAGAUGGAGAAACAACAGUGAGAGCAGCACGACAUUUAAAGUUUGCAGCAUGAACCAACAGACUCAAGCUGCUGUCAAACACCUGUCAGGAACACGGGUGAAGAGAGAUGCACACAUCACACAGAGACAUUGAGAAAGAGGUUUUGACCCACUUCUGCUCACUGAAACGUCACCUGACUCACAGAAAGACAGCAGGCAGAUAUAGGACGUGGAAUAUUUACAGAUCUGCUUCCGAAAACCAUUAGGAGACAGUAAAUAUUUUGAUCCUCUGUGAGUUAUCGCAUCUCAG